rnacentral:rRNA from 1 species
GACGUAGGGCGCGAGCGUUGUCCGGAUUUAUUGGGCGUAAAGAGCUCGUAGGCGGCUUGUCGCGUCGACUGUGAAAUCCCGCGGCUCAACCGCGGGUCUGCAGUCGAUACGGGCAGGCUAGAGUUCGGUAGGGGAGACUGGAAUUCCUGGUGUAGCGGUGAAAUGCGUAGAUAUCUGGAGGAACACCGGUGGCGAAGGCGGCAUCCUGGACCGAUACUGACGCUGAGGAGCGAAAGCCAGGGGAGCAAAGCGGG